rnacentral:rRNA from 1 species
UGACACAGACUCCCCAGUACUUUUGUGAUGCGCUCUCGACGAGUCGAGUUGUUUGGGAUUGCAGCUCAAAAUGGGAGGUAAAUUCCUUCUAAAGCUAAAUAUUGGCGAGAGACCGAUAGCGAACAAGUACCGUGAGGGAAAGAUGAAAAGCACUUUGGAAAGAGAGUUAAACAGUACGUGAAAUUGUUAAAAGGGAAACGCUUGAAGUCAGUCGCGUUUGCUUGGACUCAGCCUUACUUCGGUUUGGCGCAUUUCCUCGCAGACGGGCCAGCGUCCAUGUUGUUUCCUGGAGAAGGGGUGAGAGAAUGUGGCUCCUCUUUAUAGGGGAGUGUUAUAGCUUUCACUCGCAUGCGGGGAACGAUAUGGAGUGGUACAGCACGCUUCGGUGGUGCUUGUGCUGGCAUAAUGGCUUUAAACGACCCGUCUUGAAACACGGACCAAGGAGUCUAACAUGUCUGCAAGUGUUUGGGUGGAAAACCCGGGCGCGUAAUGAAAGUGAUGGCUGGGAAACCCCUUUUUUGGGGAGGCACCGGCGCCCCGAGCUGACCUUCUGUGACGCAUCGGAGGCAGAGCAUAUAUGUUGGGACCCGAAAGAUGGUGAACUAUGCCUGAAUAGGGCGAAGCCAGAGGAAACUCUGGUGGAGGCUCGUAGCGAUUCUGACGUGCAAAUCGAUCGUCAAAUUUGGGUAUAGGGGCGAAAGAC